UACGGAAGGGGGCUAGCGUUGCUCGGAAUCACUGGGCGUAAAGGGUGCGUAGGCGGGUCUUUAAGUCAGGGGUGAAAUCCUGGAGCUCAACUCCAGAACUGCCUUGAUACUGACGGUCUUGAGUCCGGGAGAGGUGAGUGGAACUGCGAGUGUAGAGGUGAAAUUCGUAGAUAUUCGCAAGAACACCAGUGGCGAAGGCGGCUCACUGGCCCGAUACUGACGCUGAGGCACGAAAGCGUGGGGAGCAAACAGG
rnacentral:rRNA from 1 species